rnacentral:rRNA from 1 species
UCGAGGAUCUUCCCCAAUGGGCGCAAGCCUGAGGGAGCGACGCCGCGUGCGGGAUGAAGGCCUUCGGGUUGUAAACCGCUUUAGGGGGGGAGGAAGCCGCAAGGUUGACCUAUCCCCAAAAUAAGCACGGGCUAAGUUCGUGCCAGCAGCCGCGGUAAGACGAACCGUGCGAACGUUGUUCGGAAUCACUGGGCUUAAAGGGCGCGUAGGUGGUCUGUCAAGUCGGGGGUGAAAUCUUUCGGCUCAACCGGAAAACUGCCUUCGAUACUGACAGGCUAGAGGGAGGUAGGGGUUGCGGGAACUACCAGUGGAGCGGUGAAAUGCGUUGAUAUUGGUAGGAACGCCGGUGGCGAAAGCGCGCAACUGGAUCUCUUCUGACACUGAGUGCGCGAAAGCUAGGGGAGCAAACGG